UUCAUUAACAGCCUCUUUUUCUUGUUGCGGUGAUGCAGGUCGGACGUGUUGCGGCGUAGGGAGAUACAGAACAACGUGCAUGGAGCUUCGUUGACGGAUUUUUAAGACCCUGGACUGGUUUUAUCGUGAUAAGGUAUUGGAAACACGUGAACCGAAUCCACUGCUGGAUCACACUAGUUUGGUAUUUUGAAGUUGGGUGUUACUUAUAGCGGUGUUCAGUUGUAAAGCAGUUUAUUAGCUGCCUGAAAAUAUGGAAUCCUUAUUUUAUUUUUUAUAAAUAUAUGCACAUGUAUAGGGGGCAUUUUGUUUUCUUAAUCUUGUGACACUGUAUGAACUAAAAUUGGUAAAUAAAGUGACUUUUAAACUGUA